rnacentral:lncRNA from 1 species
CACGUUGGCGAUCCGCGUGGGCGCGAUCGGACGGCCCAGAUCAAUCGCGCGAUCGGACGGCCCAGAUACAAUCGCACGGACGGCCCAGAUUCAAUCAAAAACGAACGGUCCAGAUUAAAACAAAAUGGACGGCUGAGAUCAAAAGGCAAGGGGUUAUAAAUAGAACCCCCACACCAGACCACAAACCCUAGCCGCCUGCCGCUCGCCGGAGAAGACGAACCAGAGGCCGACCGCCGCCACCCGCCGCCGCACCGGGGAAAUUUUCGACAGCCGAUCGAGGUA